rnacentral:rRNA from 1 species
ACUCCUACGGGAGGCAGCAGUGAGGAAUAUUGGUCAAUGACGCAAGUCUGAACCAGCCAUGUCGCGUGCAGGAAGACUGCCCUAUGGGUUGUAAACUGCUUUUAUACGGGAAGAAAUAUAGCUACGUGUAGUUAUUUGCCGGUACCGUAUGAAUAAGCAUCGGCUAACUCCGUGCCAGCAGCCGCGGUAAUACGGAGGAUGCGAGCGUUAUCCGGAUUCAUUGGGUUUAAAGGGGUGCGUAGGCGGAAGUAUAAGUCAGGGGUGAAAGUUUGUGGCUCAACCAUAAAAUUGCCUUUGAUACUGUAUUUCUUGAGUACAUUUGAGGUAGGCGGAAUGUGUUGUGUAGCGGUGAAAUGCUUAGAUAUAACACAGAACACCGAUUGCGAAGGCAGCUUACUAAACUGUAACUGACGCUGAUGCACGAAAGCGUGGGGAUCGAACAGGAUUAGAUACCCUGGUAGCACAGAG